rnacentral:rRNA from 1 species
GUAUUCUUCGGUGCAGCCAGCGCUUCCACAGCGCGGCAGCCCAAACCUUACACACUGUGAUUAGUUUUUUUACUAUUUGCUUUGGCUGCGCAAGUGGCCAAAGGUCUUAAACACAAAGAUUUAUAUCUUUUUUUACAAAAUUCAGUCAAUGAAGUUUUAAUACUAUAAUCUUCAAAACUUUCAACAACGGAUCUCUUGGUUCUCGCAACGAUGAAGAACGCAGCGAAAUGCGAUACGUAAUGUGAAUUGCAGGUUUUCGUGAAUCAUCGAAUCUUUGAACGCACAUUGCACCCUCUGGUAUUCCGGAGGGUAUGCCUGUUUGAGCGUCAUUUCUCUCUCAAACCUUAGGGUUUGGUAUUGAGUGAUACUCUCUUCUGGGUUAACUUGAAAUAGUGUACUGGCAAGAGUGUGCUUUUGUGGCCUCUUGACUGAGAUAAUGUAUUAGGUUCUACCAACUCGUUAUAGCAGUUCAAUUGUCCCUUUGGCAUAUCAGCUCGGCCUGACAACCUUCUAAAGUUUGACCUCAAAUCAGGUAGGAUUACCCGCUGAACUUAAGCAUAUCAAUAAGCGGAGGAAAAGAAACCAACAGGGAUUGCCUCAGUAACGGCGAGUGAAGCGGCAAAAGCUCAAAUUUGAAAUCUGGUACCUUCGGUGCUCGAGUUGUAAUUUGAAGAUAGUUUUCUGGUGCUGGCCCUUGUCUAUGUUCCUUGGAACAGGACGUCACAGAGGGUGAGAAUCCCGUCUGGCGGGGUGUCCAGUGCUUUGUAGAUUUCUAUCGACGAGUCGAGUUGUUUGGGAAUGCAGCUCUAAGUGGGUGGUAAAUUCCAUCUAAAGCUAAAUAUUGGCGAGAGACCGAUAGCGAACAAGUACAGUGAUGGAAAGAUGAAAAGAACUUUGAAAAGAGAGUGAAAAAGUACGUGAAAUUGUUGAAAGGGAAGGGUAUUAGAUCAGACUUGGUGUUUUGUGAUUAUCUUCCCUUCUUGGGUUGUGCACUCGCAUUUCACUGGGCCAGCAUCGGUUCGGAUGGCAAGAUAAUGACAUUGGAACGUGGCACUACCUUCGGGUGGUGUAUUAUAGCCCUUGUUGAUGUUGCCUAUCUGGACCGAGG